UUUAUUUGAUAGUACCUUACUACUUGGAUAACCGUGGUAAUUCUAGAGCUAAUACAUGCUGAAAACCCUGACUUCGGAAAGGGUGUAUUUAUUAGAUAAAAAACCAAUGCCCUUUGGGCUCUUUGGUGAUUCAUGAUAACUUAACGGAUCGCAUGGCCUUGCGCCGGCGACGGUUCAUUCAAAUUUCUGCCCUAUCAACUUUCGAUGGUAAGGUAUUGGCUUACCAUGGUUUCAACGGGUAACGGGGAAUUAGGGUUCGAUUCCGGAGAGGGAGCCUGAGAAACGGCUACCACAUCCAAGGAAGGCAGCAGGCGCGCAAAUUACCCAAUCCCGACACGGGGAGGUAGUGACAAUAAAUACUGAUACAGGGCUCUUUAGGGUCUUGUAAUCGGAAUGAGUACAAUUUAAACCUCUUAACGAGGAACAAUUGGAGGGCAAGUCUGGUGCCAGCAGCCGCGGUAAUUCCAGCUCCAAUAGCGUAUAUUAAAGUUGUUGCAGUUAAAAAGCUCGUAGUUGAAUCUUGGGCCUGGCUGGCCGGUCCGCCUCACCGCGUGUACUGGUCUGGCCGGGCCUUUCCUUCUGGAGAACCUCAUGCCCUUCAGUGGGUGGUGUUGGGGAACCAGGACUUUUACUUUGAAAAAAUUAGAGUGUUCAAAGCAGGCCUUUGCUCGAAUACGUUAGCAUGGAAUAAUAGAAUAAGGACGUGCGGUCCUAUUUUUGUUGGUUUCUAGGACCGCCGUAAUGAUUAAUA
rnacentral:rRNA from 1 species